rnacentral:rRNA from 1 species
AGAAUCAACGCUGGCGGCGUGCCUAACACAUGCAAGUCGAACGAGAAAGUGGGAGCAAUCCCACGAGUAAAGUGGCGCACGGGUGAGUAACACGUGACUAACCUACCCUUGAGUGGGGGAUAACCUAGGGAAACCUGGGCUAAUACCGCAUAAUACCUACGGGUCAAAGGAGCAAUUCGCUUUAGGAGGGGGUCGCGGCAGAUUAGUUAGUUGGCGGGGUAAUGGCCCACCAAGACAGUGAUCUGUAUCCGGCCUGAGAGGGCGCACGGACACACUGGAACUGAAACACGGUCCAGACUCCUACGGGAGGCAGCAGUGGGGAAUUUGCGCAAUGGGGGAAACCCUGACGCAGCAACGCCGCGUGGAGGAUGAAGCCCCUUGGGGCGUAAACUCCUUUCGAUCGGGAAGAUAAUGACGGUACCGGAAGAAGAAGCCCCGGCUAACUUCGUGCCAGCAGCCG